rnacentral:rRNA from 1 species
GACGAACGCUGGCGGCGUGCUUAACACAUGCAAGUCGAGCGAGGUCCAACCGAUGGCAACAUCGGGGAAGACCUAGCGGCGAACGGGUGAGUAACACGUGAGCAACCUGUCCCGGAGACUGGGAUAACACCGGGAAACCGGUGCUAAUACCGGGAUACCCCCACCGAUCCGCAUGGUUCGGUGAGGAAAGAUUCAUCGCUUCGGGAGGGGGCUCGCGGGCUAUCAGCUUGUUGGUGAGGUAACGGCUCACCAAGGCGACGACGGCUCGCUGGUCUGAGAGGACGACCAGCCACACUGGGACUGAGACACGGCCCAGACUCCUACGGGAGGCAGCAGUGGGGAAUCUUGCGCAAUGGGCGAAAGCCUGACGCAGCAACGCCGC